rnacentral:rRNA from 1 species
CCUACGGGUGGCAGCAGUGGGGAAUAUUGCGCAAUGGGCGAAAGCCUGACGCAGCGACGCCGCGUGAGGGAUGAAGGUCUUCGGAUCGUAAACCUCUGUCAGCAGGGAAGAACGGUCACUGUGCUAAUCAGCAGUGAAUUGACGGUACCUGCAAAGGACGCACCGGCUAACUCCGUGCCCGCAGCCGCGGUAAUACGGAGGGUGCGAGCGUUAAUCGGAAUUACUGGGCGUAAAGCGCUCGUAGGCGGUAUGUCAAGUCAAGGGUGAAAUCCCCGCGCUCAACGUGGGAACUGCCUUUGAAACUGGCGAACUGGAGAGUGUGAGAGGAUAGUGGAAUGCCAGGUGUAGGAGUGAAAUCCGUAGAGAUCAGGAGGAACAUCAGUGGCGAAGGCGACUAUCUGGCACAUAACUGACGCUGAGGAGCGAAAGCGUGGGUAGCAAACAGGAUUAGAUACCCGUGUAGUC